rnacentral:tRNA from 1 species
UCCCUGGUGGCCUAGCAGUUAAAGAUCCUGCAUUGUGACUGCUGAGGCACAGGUUCGAUCCCUGGCCUGGGAA